AUUGCUUCUCAGCCUUUUGGCUAAAAUCAAGUGUAGUAUCUGUUCUUAUCAGUUUAAUAUCUGAUAUGUCCUCUAUCCGAGGACAACAUAUUAAAUGGAUUUUUGGAGCUAGGAGUUGGAAUAGGAGCUUGCUCCGUCCACUCCUCCAAUCGACCUGGUAUUACAGUACCUCCAGGAAUGUUGCACCCCCU
rnacentral:snRNA from 1 species